rnacentral:tRNA from 2 species
UCGGAGUAUAGCGCAGCCUGGUUAGCGCGGUUGCUUUGGGAGCAAUAGGUCGGGGGUUCGAAUCCCUCUACUCCGAGCC